rnacentral:rRNA from 1 species
AGUGAGCGCUGGCGGUAGGCCUAACACAUGCAAGUCGAACGGCAGCACAGUAAGAGCUUGCUCUUACGGGUGGCGAGUGGCGGACGGGUGAGGAAUACAUCGGAAUCUACUUUUUCGUGGGGGAUAACGUAGGGAAACUUACGCUAAUACCGCAUACGACCUACGGGUGAAAGCAGGGGAUCUUCGGACCUUGCGCGAUUGAAUGAGCCGAUGUCGGAUUAGCUAGUUGGCGGGGUAAAGGCCCACCAAGGCGACGAUCCGUAGCUGGUCUGAGAGGAUGAUCAGCCACACUGGAACUGAGACACGGUCCAGACUCCUACGGGAGGCAGCAGUGGGGAAUAUUGGACAAUGGGCGCAAGCCUGAUCCAGCCAUACCGCGUGGGUGAAGAAGGCCUGCGGGUUGUAAAGCCCUUUUGUUGGGAAAGAAAAGCAGCAGGUUAAUACCCCGCUGUUCUGACGGUACCCAAAGAAUAAGCACCGGCUAACUUCGU